rnacentral:rRNA from 1 species
UUAAGCGACUAAGCGUACACGGUGGAUGCCCUGGCAGUCAGAGGCGAUGAAGGACGUGCUAAUCUGCGAUAAGCGUCGGUAAGGUGAUAUGAACCGUUAUAACCGGCGAUUUCCGAAUGGGGAAACCCAGUGUGAUUCGUCACACUAUCAUUAACUGAAUCCAUAGGUUAAUGAGGCGAACCGGGGGAACUGAAACAUCUAAGUACCCCGAGGAAAAGAAAUCAACCGAGAUUCCCCCAGUAGCGGCGAGCGAACGGGGAGCAGCCCAGAGCCUGAAUCAGUGUGUGUGUUAGUGGAAGCGUCUGGAAAGGCGCGCGAUACAGGGUGACAGCCCCGUACACAAAAAUGCACAUGCUGUGAGCUCGAUGAGUAGGGCGGGACACGUGGUAUCCUGUCUGAAUAUGGGGGGACCAUCCUCCAAGGCUAAAUACUCCUGACUGACCGAUAGUGAACCAGUACCGUGAGGGAAAGGCGAAAAGAACCCCGGCGAGGGGAGUGAAAAAGAACCUGAAACCGUGUACGUACAAGCAGUGGGAGCACGCUUAGGCGUGUGACUGCGUACCUUUUGUAUAAUGGGUCAGCGACUUAUAUUCUGUAGCAAGGUUAACCGAAUAGGGGAGCCGAAGGGAAACCGAGUCUUAACUGGGCGUUAAGUUGCAGGGUAUAGACCCGAAACCCGGUGAUCUAGCCAUGGGCAGGUUGAAGGUUGGGUAACACUAACUGGAGGACCGAACCGACUAAUGUUGAAAAAUUAGCGGAUGACUUGUGGCUGGGGGUGAAAGGCCAAUCAAACCGGGAGAUAGCUGGUUCUCCCCGAAAGCUAUUUAGGUAGCGCCUCGUGAACUCAUCUCCGGGGGUAGAGCACUGUUUCGGCAAGGGGGUCAUCCCGACUUACCAACCCGAUGCAAACUGCGAAUACCGGAGAAUGUUAUCACGGGAGACACACGGCGGGUGCUAACGUCCGUCGUGAAGAGGGAAACAACCCAGACCGCCAGCUAAGGUCCCAAAGUCAUGGUUAAGUGGGAAACGAUGUGGGAAGGCCCAGACAGCCAGGAUGUUGGCUUAGAAGCAGCCAUCAUUUAAAGAAAGCGUAAUAGCUCACUGGUCGAGUCGGCCUGCGCGGAAGAUGUAACGGGGCUAAACCAUGCACCGAAGCUGCGGCAGCGACGCUUAUGCGUUGUUGGGUAGGGGAGCGUUCUGUAAGCCUGUGAAGGUGUACUGUGAGGUAUGCUGGAGGUAUCAGAAGUGCGAAUGCUGACAUAAGUAACGAUAAAGCGGGUGAAAAGCCCGCUCGCCGGAAGACCAAGGGUUCCUGUCCAACGUUAAUCGGGGCAGGGUGAGUCGACCCCUAAGGCGAGGCCGAAAGGCGUAGUCGAUGGGAAACAGGUUAAUAUUCCUGUACUUGGUGUUACUGCGAAGGGGGGACGGAGAAGGCUAUGUUGGCCGGGCGACGGUUGUCCCGGUUUAAGCGUGUAGGCUGGUUUUCCAGGCAAAUCCGGAAAAUCAAGGCUGAGGCGUGAUGACGAGGCACUACGGUGCUGAAGCAACAAAUGCCCUGCUUCCAGGAAAAGCCUCUAAGCAUCAGGUAACAUCAAAUCGUACCCCAAACCGACACAGGUGGUCAGGUAGAGAAUACCAAGGCGCUUGAGAGAACUCGGGUGAAGGAACUAGGCAAAAUGGUGCCGUAACUUCGGGAGAAGGCACGCUGAUAUGUAGGUGAAGCGACUUGCUCGUGGAGCUGAAAUCAGUCGAAGAUACCAGCUGGCUGCAACUGUUUAUUAAAAACACAGCACUGUGCAAACACGAAAGUGGACGUAUACGGUGUGACGCCUGCCCGGUGCCGGAAGGUUAAUUGAUGGGGUCAGCGCAAGCGAAGCUCUUGAUCGAAGCCCCGGUAAACGGCGGCCGUAACUAUAACGGUCCUAAGGUAGCGAAAUUCCUUGUCGGGUAAGUUCCGACCUGCACGAAUGGCGUAAUGAUGGCCAGGCUGUCUCCACCCGAGACUCAGUGAAAUUGAACUCGCUGUGAAGAUGCAGUGUACCCGCGGCAAGACGGAAAGACCCCGUGAACCUUUACUAUAGCUUGACACUGAACAUUGAGCCUUGAUGUGUAGGAUAGGUGGGAGGCUUUGAAGUGUGGACGCCAGUCUGCAUGGAGCCGACCUUGAAAUACCACCCUUUAAUGUUUGAUGUUCUAACGUUGACCCGUAAUCCGGGUUGCGGACAGUGUCUGGUGGGUAGUUUGACUGGGGCGGUCUCCUCCUAAAGAGUAACGGAGGAGCACGAAGGUUGGCUAAUCCUGGUCGGACAUCAGGAGGUUAGUGCAAUGGCAUAAGCCAGCUUGACUGCGAGCGUGACGGCGCGAGCAGGUGCGAAAGCAGGUCAUAGUGAUCCGGUGGUUCUGAAUGGAAGGGCCAUCGCUCAACGGAUAAAAGGUACUCCGGGGAUAACAGGCUGAUACCGCCCAAGAGUUCAUAUCGACGGCGGUGUUUGGCACCUCGAUGUCGGCUCAUCACAUCCUGGGGCUGAAGUAGGUCCCAAGGGUAUGGCUGUUCGCCAUUUAAAGUGGUACGCGAGCUGGGUUUAGAACGUCGUGAGACAGUUCGGUCCCUAUCUGCCGUGGGCGCUGGAGAACUGAGGGGGGCUGCUCCUAGUACGAGAGGACCGGAGUGGACGCAUCACUGGUGUUCGGGUUGUCAUGCCAAUGGCACUGCCCGGUAGCUAAAUGCGGAAGAGAUAAGUGCUGAAAGCAUCUAAGCACGAAACUUGCCCCGAGAUGAGUUCUCCCUGACUCCUUGAGAGUCCUGAAGGAACGUUGAAGACGACGACGUUGAUAGGCCGGGUGUGUAAGCGCAGCGAUGCGUUGAGCUAACCGGUACUAAUGAACCGUGAGGCUUAACCUU